UCGGGAAUAUUGCGCAAUGGAGGAAACUCUGACGCAGUGACGCCGCGUAUGGGAAGAAGGUUUUCGGAUUGUAAACCAUUUUAGACAGGGAAGAAGAAGUGACAGUACCUGUAAAAUAAGCUCCGGCUAACUACGUGCCAGCAGCCGCGGUAAUACGUAGGUGGCAAGCGUUAUCCGGAAUUAUUGGGCGUAAAGGGUGCGUAGGCGGCAUGAUAAGUCUGAAGUAAAAGCCAAUGGCUCAACCAUUGUAAGCUUUGGAAACUGUCAAGCUAGAGUACAGGAGAGGUUAGUGGAAUUCCAUGUGUAGCGGUAAAAUGCGUAGAUAUAUGGAGGAACACCAGUGGCGAAGGCGGCUAACUGGCCUGUAACUGACGCUGAAGCACGAAAGCGUGGGGAGCAAAUA
rnacentral:rRNA from 1 species